rnacentral:misc_RNA from 1 species
GAUGAAGAACGUAGCGAAAUGCGAUAAGUAAUGCGAAUUGCAGAAUUUCCGUGAGUCAUCGAAUCUUUGAACGCACGUUGCGCCCGCCAGCAUUCUGGCGGGCAUGCCUGUUCGAGCGUCAUUUCAACCCUCGACCUCCCCUUGGGGAGGUCGGCGUUGGGGACCGGCAGCACACCGCCGGCCCUGAAAUGGAGUGGCGGCCCGUCUGCGGCGACCUCUGCGUAGUAAUACAGCUCGCACCGGAACCCCGACGCGGCCACGCCGUAAAACACCCAACUUCUGAACGUUGACCUCGAAUCAGGUAGGACUACCCGCUGAACUUAAGCAUAUCAAUAAGCGGAGGA